rnacentral:rRNA from 1 species
UGACCCCAGGAUGGGCGAGGCCACCCGCUGAGUUUAAGCAUAUCAAUAAGCGGAGGAAGGAAAACACUAAACAAC